UACGGAGGAUGCAAGCGUUAUCCGGAAUGAUUGGGCGUAAAGCGUCCGCAGGUGGCGAUGUAAGUCUGCUGUUAAAGAGUGAGGCUCAACCUCAUAAGAGCAGUGGAAACUACAUAGCUAGAGUACGUUCGGGGCAGAGGGAAUUCCUGGUGUAGCGGUGAAAUGCGUAGAGAUCAGGAAGAACACCAGUGGCGAAGGCGCUCUGCUAGGCCGUAACUGACACUGAGGGACGAAAAGCUAGGGGGAGCGAAUGGG
rnacentral:rRNA from 1 species